UGAAUACGAGAUGCUACGGCGUCGAAGCAGUGUAUGUCAGACUUCCAAGAAAAGCUCGCAAUGUCAUAAAUAAAGAAUGCCUGUACCAUAACCGACACAGGUGGGUAGGUAGAGUAUACUAAGGGGCGCGAGAUAACUCUCUCUAAGGAACUCGGCAAAAUAACUCCGUAACUUCGGGAGAAGGAGUGCCUUCUAUUAGAAGGUUGCAAUAACAAGAUCCAAGCAACUGUUUAUCAAAAACACAGGUCUCCGCUAAGUCGUAAGACGAUGUAUGGGGGCUGACGCCUGCCCAGUGCCAGAAGGUUAAAGAAGUUGGUUAGCUUUGGCGAAGCUGAUGACUGAAGCCCUGGUGAACGGCGGCCGUAACAAUAACGGUCCUAAGGUAGCGAAGUUCCUUGUCGGGUAAGUUCCGACCCGCACGAAAGGCGUAAUGAUUUGGAUACUGUCUCGGAGAGGGACUCGGUGAAAUAGACUUGUCUGUGAAGAUGCGGACUACCUGCACCAGGACAGAAAGACCCUAUGAAGCUUUACUGUAACUUGAAAUUGAAAUUGGACUUUAUUUGCGCAGCAUAGGUGGAAGGCGUUGAGAUUACUCUUGCGGGAGUACUGGAGCCAUCAGUGAGAUACCACUCCUAUAAUGUUAGAUUUCUAACUUUGGAUCAUGAUCUGGUCAAAGAACAGUUUCAGGCGGGCAGUUUGACUGGGGCGGUCGCCUCCCAAAUGGUAACGGAGGCGUACAAAGGUUUCCUCUGAACGGGUAGAAAUCGUAUCUAGAGUGUAAAGGCAUAAGGAAGCUUGACUGUGAGACCUACAAGUCGAGCAGGGACGAAAGUCGGUCUUAGUGAUCUGACGGUGCUGAGUGGAAAGGCCGCCACUCAACGGAUAAAAGUUACUCUAGGAUAACAGGCUGAUCUCCCCCAAGAGUUCACAUCGACGGGGAGGUUUGGCACCUCGAUGUCGGCUCAUCGCAUCCUGGGGCGGUAGUACGUCCCAAGGGUUGGGCUGUUCGCCCAUGAAAGCGGUACGCGAGCUGGGUUCAGAACGUCGUGAGACAGUUCGGUCCAUAUCCGGUGUAGGCGUUAGAAUAUUGAGAGGAGCCUUCUUUAGUACGAGAGGACCGAGAAGGACAUACCUCUGGUGUACCAGUUAUCGUGCCAACGGUAAACGCUGGGUAGCUAUGUAUGGAGAGGAUAACCGCUGUAAGCAUCUAAGUGGGAAGCCCACCUCAAGAUGAGUAUAC
rnacentral:rRNA from 1 species